AGAUUGAACGCUGGCGGCAGGCCUAACACAUGCAAGUCGAGCGGCAGCACGGGUACUUGUACCUGGUGGCGAGCGGCGGACGGGUGAGUAAUGCCUAGGAAUCUGCCUGGUAGUGGGGGAUAACGCUCGGAAACGGACGCUAAUACCGCAUACGUCCUACGGGAGAAAGCAGGGGACCUUCGGGCCUUGCGCUAUCAGAUGAGCCUAGGUCGGAUUAGCUAGUUGUGAGGUAAUGGCUCACCAAGGCGACGAUCCGUAACUGGUCUGAGAGGAUGAUCAGUCACACUGGAACUGAGACACGGUCCAGACUCCGUACGGGAGGCAGCGAGGUGGGGAAUAGUUGGACAAGUGGGACGAAAGCCUGACUCCGAGCCAUCGCGCGUGGUGUGAAGAAGGUUCUUA
rnacentral:rRNA from 1 species